rnacentral:rRNA from 1 species
AGUCGAGGGGCAGCAUUCUAGUUUGCUUGCAACUAAAGAUGGCGACCGGCGCACGGGUGAGUAACACGUAUCCAACCUGCCGAUAACUCAGGGAUAGCCUUUCGAAAGAAAGAUUAAUACCUGAUGGCAUAGGAUUAUCGCAUGAUAAUCCUAUUAAAGAAUUUCGGUUAUCGAUGGGGAUGCGUUCCAUUAGGCAGUUGGUGAGGUAACGGCUCACCAAACCUUCGAUGGAUAGGGGUUCUGAGAGGAAGGUCCCCCACAUUGGAACUGAGACACGGUCCAAACUCCUACGGGAGGCAGCAGUGAGGAAUAUUGGUCAAUGGACGGGAGUCUGAACCAGCCAAGUAGCGUGAAGGAUGACUGCCCUAUGGGUUGUAAACUUCUUUUAUACGGGAAUAAAGUGGUCCACGUGUGGAUUUUUGUAUGUACCGUAUGAAUAAGGAUCGGCUAACUCCGUGCCAGCAGCCGCGGUAAUACGGAGGAUCCGAGCGUUAUCCGGAUUUAUUGGGUUUAAAGGGAGCGUAGGUGGAUUGUUAAGUCAGUUGUGAAAGUUUGCGGCUCAACCGUAAAAUUGCAGUUGAUACUGGCAGUCUUGAGUACAGUAGAGGUGGGCGGAAUUCGUGGUGUAGCGGUGAAAUGCUUAGAUAUCACGAAGAACUCCGAUUGCGAAGGCAGCUCACUGGACUGCAACUGACACUGAUGCUCGAAAGUGUGGGUA